rnacentral:rRNA from 1 species
CGGUGAAUACGUUCCCGGACCCUGCACACACCGCCCGUCAAGCCAUGGAAGCCGGGUGUACCUAAAGUCGAUAACCGCUAAGGAGUCGCCUAGGGUAAAACUGGUAACUGGGGCU